GUUAGGAAUAUUGGACAAUGGGCGCAAGCCUGAUCCAGCCAUGCCGCGUGAGUGAUGAAGGCCUUCGGGUUGUAAAGCUCUUUAGCCGAUGAUUAUAAUGACUGUAGUCGGAAAAUAAGCCCCGGCUAACUUCGUGCCAGCAGCCGCGGUAAUACGAAGGGGGCGAGCGUUAUUCGGAAUCACUGGGCGUAAAGCGUGCGUAGGCGGCUUUGCAAGUUGGGAGUGAAAGCCCAGUGCUCAACCCUGGAAGUGCUCUCAAAACUGCAAGGCUCGAAUUCGGGAGAGGAUAGCGGAAUUGUCAGUGUAGCAGUGAAAUGCGUAGAUAUUGACAGGAACACCAGUGGCGUAAGCGGCUAUCUGGACCGAUAUUGACGCUGAGGCACGAAAGCGUGGGGAUCAAACAGGAUUAGAUACCCUGGUAGUCC
rnacentral:rRNA from 1 species